CAUUUUUGAAGUUCUGUGUGGCAUUUUAACUGUGAAUGUCACAAUACCUGUUACUGAAAUAAAAUGCACAUAUUUGUAUUCAAUAAAGUCUCACGAGUAAAAUAGCACCCACCAAGUGCAGGUUUUAUAGUGUUUUGGAAAGUUACAGGGUCAAAUUUAGCACAUUACAUAUUUUAGUUAAUACACAUUAAACUUUGCCAGACUGGUUAUGUUGCCUUUGAGACCAUAUGGUAGCCCAGGAAUGAAAAUUACCCUUAUGAUAAUUACCAUUUGCAAAAGUAGACAACCCAAUGCAUUACAAAUGGGUUAUGUCCAGUCUUUUUUAGUAGCCACUUAGUCACAAACACUGGCCAAUGUUAGCAUUCUAAUUUGUGUGUGAAAAAUGCAAAAACACAGAUUUGAACGCUAA